AACGAACGCUGGCGGCAUGCCUAACACAUGCAAGUCGAACGAGACCUUCGGGUCUAGUGGCGCACGGGUGCGUAACGCGUGGGAACCUGCCCUUAGGUUCGGAAUAACUCCCCGAAAGGGGUGCUAAUACCGGAUAAUGUCUUCGGACCAAAGAUUUAUCGCCUUUGGAUGGGCCCGCGUUGGAUUAGCUAGUUGGUAGGGUAAAAGCCUACCAAGGCGACGAUCCAUAGCUGGUCUGAGAGGAUGAGCAGCCACACUGGGACUGAGACACGGCCCAGACUACUGCGGGAGGCAGCAGUGGGGAAUAUUGGACAAUGGGCGAAAGCCUGAUCCAGCAAUGCCGCGUGAGUGAUGAAGGCCUUAGGGUUGUAAAGCUCUUUUACCCGGGAUGAUAAUGACAGUACCGGGAGAAUAAGCUCCGGCUAACUCCGUG
rnacentral:rRNA from 1 species